rnacentral:rRNA from 1 species
UGAGGAAUAUUGGUCAAUGGGCGAGAGCCUGAACCAGCCAAGUAGCGUGAAGGAUGACUGCCCUAUGGGUUGUAAACUUCUUUUAUAAAGGAAUAAAGUCGGGUAUGUAUACCCGUUUGCAUGUACUUUAUGAAUAAGGAUCGGCUAACUCCGUGCCAGCAGCCGCGGUAAUACGGAGGAUCCGAGCGUUAUCCGGAUUUAUUGGGUUUAAAGGGAGCGUAGAUGGAUGUUUAAGUCAGUUGUGAAAGUUUGCGGCUCAACCGUAAAAUUGCAGUUGAUACUGGAUAUCUUGAGUGCAGUUGAGGCAGGCGGAAUUCGUGGUGUAGCGGUGAAAUGCUUAGAUAUCACGAAGAACUCCGAUUGCGAAGGCAGCCUGCUAAGCUGCAACUGACAUUGAGGCUCGAAAGUGUGGGUAUCAAACAGGAUUAGAUACCCUGGUAGUCCACACGGUAAACGAUGAAUACUCGCUGUUUGCGAUAUACUGCAAGCGGCCAAGCGAAAGCGUUAAGUAUUCCACCUGGGGAGUACGCCGGCAACGGUGAAACUCAAAGGAAUUGACGGGGGCCCGCACAAGCGGAGGAACAUGUGGUUUAAUUCGAUGAUACGCGAGGAACCUUACCCGGGCUUAAAUUGCAGAUGAAUUACGGUGAAAGCCGUAAGCCGCAAGGCAUCUGUGAAGGUGCUGCAUGGUUGUCGUCAGCUCGUGCCGUGAGGUGUCGGCUUAAGUGCCAUAACGAGCGCAACCCUUGUUGUCAGUUACUAACAGGUUCCGCUGAGGACUCUGACAAGACUGCCAUCGUAAGAUGUGAGGAAGGUGGGGAUGACGUCAAAUCAGCACGGCCCUUACGUCCGGGGCUACACACGUGUUACAAUGGGGGGUACAGAGGGCCGCUACCACGCGAGUGGAUGCCAAUCCCCAAAACCUCUCUCAGUUCGGACUGGAGUCUGCAACCCGACUCCACGAAGCUGGAUUCGCUAGUAAUCGCGCAUCAGCCAUGGCGCGGUGAAUACGUUCCC